rnacentral:lncRNA from 1 species
AGUUCAUUAAUCAUAUUUUUUAUUUAAAACAUAAAUUCGUUAAUAAUGCUUAGUAAUGCAUAUAUUUGUAUUUUUAGCUUUCCAGAAGAUCCUGCGAAGAAGGCGUGAAGUAUAGAUCAGAUUUGUUAAUAGAGAAGUAUGUUCAAAACAUUUUUUAGAAAAAGAUAUUAGCAGAACUUCACUUUCAUCUGUUCAUUGAGAGACUGUGCUGUUCCAAUAGCUUAUGUCACACAGAAUCAGCGGAGAGAAGUGUUCUACAAAAAACCAGGAAGGAAACGGAAUAUGUGGCUACGAAAGGCAAAAGAAAGGUUUACAAA